rnacentral:rRNA from 1 species
AGCGAACGCUGGCGGUAGGCCUAACACAUGCAAGUCGAACGAAGUCUUCGGACUUAGUGGCGGACGGGUGAGUAACACGUGGGAACGUGCCUUUAGGUUCGGAAUAACUCAGGGAAACUUGUGCUAAUACCGAAUGUGCCCUUCGGGGGAAAGAUUUAUCGCCUUCAGAGCGGCCCGCGUCUGAUUAGAUAGUUGGUGAGGUAAAGGCUCACCAAGGCUACGAUCAGUAGCUGGUCUGAGAGGAUGACCAGCCACAUUGGGACUGAGACACGGCCCAAACUCCUACGGGAGGCAGCAGUGGGGAAUCUUGCGCAAUGGGCGAAAGCCUGACGCAGCCAUGCCGCGUGGAUGAUGAAGGUCUUAGGACUGUAAAAUCCUUUCACCGGUGAAGAUAAUGACUGUAGCCGGAGAAGAAGCCCCGGCUAACUUCGUGCCAGCCGCCGCUGUAAAAC